CAGACAGGCAUUAGACGGCGUACUGUAUUCUACAGGAUGAGAUGUGUCACCAGAAUGAGUUUUAUGGGUCUCUGACUGCCAUUGUGGAGAAUGGUUUGCUAUAAUGGGACUAAAUUUUUUUUUGCUAACCUGGACAAAUAGCCAGUGAAAACAGGAAAAAGUACUAGGAUAACUGCUAGACACCUUAAGGCCCAUUCACACUGAUCCAACUCCAACUAACUCCAAAAAGCUCCAACGCAUUCUUCCCACAUACUGACGUAGAUAUGUGGGGGCGUGUUGGAACGAGCCGUUUUAGGGGGGUGUGGACAAGUCUUAACUUUUAUAAAGAAUAUCUAUAGAUUUGAGACUUUAGUCUUUGCAACUUUACAGAUCUUCUUUAUUCACCAAGAGCUUGUAACACUUCAAAGAGAAAGCAAAAAUUGAAAUCGCAGCAUAUGACCCCUUUAAUGGAGAUGGUCGGAUGUUUGCAGAAUGUUUCUUAAAUGAUGAGUCGCUUCAGUUUUCCACAUCUGAAAAAAGUGUGGCUGCCCUAAGAAUGACUAUAGCUGCUUGUCUCCUGCAGAACACUGAUUGGCUGUGACGUGUGCCCACGUUGGUUUCACUGCAACUGUGUCCAAUGCUCAAGGAAACACAGACGUUCUGUUUCUCAUCUCAUUUCAUCAUUUCUUUUAAAGUUUUGUUAUUUUAAAACAUUCUGUUUGCUUAUUGUAAUUUCUAUGUAAUUGUAACACUAUGUAAACUGUAAAUAAAAACACUUAAUGAUUUUACCAUCUCGUGUUAUUCACAAUAGAAGAGUGAAAUCAUUAUAAAAAUAUGAUGAAAAAGUGGUACUAAAAGUAAACUGAUUAGGACAACUGACAACAGAUCAGUAACAUGACAUGAGUUGAUGUUGUGUAUGUGGGUCUGUGAAGGACAGUAUAAGUGUAAGUGGCAAAGGAAAAUAAUGAUGUACUGCCUUUAACUGUCAUUUUGCAUUACUGACACUGUUUUCCUAAUUAAUGUUGUUCAGUUGCAU
ensembl:lncRNA